GACUUAACCGGAUUAGGAAGGACGCCAGGGUCAGUGCCAGCAGCCACGGUAAUACAAAGACUGCAAGCGUUACUCGGAUUCACUGGACGUAAAGGGAGCGCAGGCAAGAUUGGUGUGUCAAGAUUGAAAUACCGGGGCUCAACCCCGGGGCUGCACCCAAAACUACCAAUCUAGACACUUGUUCGGGUAAGCGGAAUUCAUGGUGCAGCAAUGAAAUG
rnacentral:rRNA from 1 species